rnacentral:rRNA from 1 species
GCAGAACGCGAAGAACCUUACCAGCUCUUGACAUGUCUCGUAUGGGUACCGGAGACGGUAUCCUUCAGUUCGGCUGGCGAGAACACAGGUGCUGCAUGGCUGUCGUCAGCUCGUGUCGUGAGAUGUUGGGUUAAGUCCCGCAACGAGCGCAACCCUCGCCUCUAGUUGCCAUCAUUCAGUUGGGCACUCUAGAGGGACUGCCGGUGAUAAGCCGAGAGGAAGGUGGGGAUGACGUCAAGUCCUCAUGGCCCUUACGGGCUGGGCUACACACGUGCUACAAUGGCGGUGACAAUGGGCAGCGAAGGGGCGACCCGGAGCUAAUCUCAAAAAGCCGUCUCAGUUCGGAUUGUACUCUGCAACUCGAGUGCAUGAAGUUGGAAUCGCUAGUAAUCGUGGAUCAGCAUGCCACGGUGAAUACGUUCCCGGGUCUUGUACACACCG